rnacentral:rRNA from 1 species
UACGUAGGUGGCAAGCGUUGUCCGGAUUUACUGGGCGUAAAGAGCGCGCAGGCGGUCGUUCAAGUCGCGUGUGAAAGCCCCCGGCUCAACUGGGGAGGGUCACGCGAUACUGAUCGACUCGAAGGCAGGAGAGGGUAGUGGAAUUCCCGGUGUAGCGGUGAAAUGCGUUGAUAUCGGGAGGAAUACCCGUGGCGAAGGCGGUCCACUGGGCAUCAACUGACGCUGAGGCGCGAAAGCGUGGGUAGCAAACAGG